rnacentral:misc_RNA from 1 species
UUCACUCUCAGUGUCUGACUC